rnacentral:rRNA from 1 species
AUUGAACGCUGGCGGAAUGCCUUACACAUGCAAGUCGAACGGCAGCACGGGAGCAAUCCUGGUGGCGAGUGGCGAACGGGUGAGUAAUACAUCGGAACGUGCCCAAUCGUGGGGGAUAACGUAGCGAAAGCUACGCUAAUACCGCAUACGAUCUACGGAUGAAAGCGGGGGAUCGCAAGACCUCGCGCGAAUGGAGCGGCCGAUGGCAGAUUAGGUAGUGGUGGGGUAAAGGCUCACCAAGCCUUCGAUCUGUAGCUGGUCUGAGAGGACGACCAGCCACACUGGGACUGAGACACGGCCCAGACUCCUACGGGAGGCAGCAGUGGGGAAUUUUGGACAAUGGGCGCAAGCCUGAUCCAGCCAUUCCGCGUGCAGGAUGAA